rnacentral:lncRNA from 1 species
UGAUUAUAUAGAUGCUAUAUGAGAAUAGAAUAUCAUAAUAAAAGCCAUAUAAUGUGAAAUAUAUAUGGGAAUUAUGACAUUUUAUAUGAUAUACUAAACAAUGAUAAUAGCAAUAAUAAUAAUAAUAUAUGCCUGUAUUUCAUUUGGCAUAAAGAAAUAUUUUUUUUUUUAUUGAUAAACAAACAGCAGCAUUCUUGUAUCCUUGUGAGAGGAUGGGUAGUAUUCAAAGAAAAAGAAAAGGAGAAGGAAAAUCUGUUCAUACACUACUAAUUAUACAAUGCCACAUAUUCUUAGCCCUAUAUAUUUUACCAGCAUCUCCAUGGUCAUUUUCAUACUCUCAGACUUUUAAAUCUUCAGAUGCACAUUCUCUUAUUUUCUCCAAUCUUAUCUUGGGCUCCUUCCUUCACACUUAUUAUCCUACUCAACAUAUGUUCAUUUCAUCAAUCAUACAUUUAUUUCACCUUCCCAAACUACUUCAAAGUUGG